UUCUUUGAAGGUGCACUAUUGACCG
rnacentral:piRNA from 1 species